GAUGAACGCUGGCGGCGUGCCUAAUACAUGCAAGUCGAGCGAACGGACGAGAAGCUUGCUUCUUUGAUGUUAGCGGCGGACGGGCGAGUAACACGUGGAUAACCUACUUAUAAGACUGGGAUAAUUUCGGGAAACCGGAGCUAAUACCGGAUAAUAUUUUGAACCGCAUGGUUCAAAAGUGAUAGACGGUCUUGCUGUCACUUAUAGAUGGAUCCGCGCUGCAUUAGCUAGUUGGUAAGGUAACGGCUUACCAAGGCAACGAUGCAUAGCCGACCUGAGAGGGUGAUCGGCCACACUGGAACUGAGACACGGUCCAGACUCCUACGGGAGGCAGCAGUAGGGAAUCUUCCGCAAUGGGCGAAAGCCUGACGGAGCAACACCGCGUGAGUGAUGAAGGUCUUCGGAUCGUAAAACUCUGUUAUUAGGGAAGAACAUAUGUGGAAGUAACUGUGCACAUCUUGACGGUACCUAAUCAGAAAGCCACGGCUAACUACGUG
rnacentral:rRNA from 1 species